AGUGAACGCUGGCGGUAGGCCUAACACAUGCAAGUCGAACGGCAGCACAGUAAGAGCUUGCUCUUACGGGUGGCGAGUGGCGGACGGGUGAGGAAUACAUCGGAAUCUACUUUUUCGUGGGUGAUAACGUAGGGAAACUUACGCUAAUACCGCAUACUACCUACGGGUGAAAGCAGUGGAUCUUCGGACCUUUCGCGAUUGAAUGAGCCGAUGUCGGAUUAGCUAGUUGGCGGGGUAAAGGCCCACCAAGGCGACGAUCCGUAGCUGAUCUGAGAGGAUGAUCAGCCACACUGGAACUGAGACACGGUCCAGACUCCUACGGGAGGCAGCAGUGGGGAAUAUUGGACAAUGGGCGCAAGCCUGAUCCAGCCAUACCGCGUGGGUGAAGAAGGCCUUCGGGUUGUAAAGCCCUUUUGUUGGGAAAGAAAAGCAGCAGGUUAAUACCCCGCUGUUCUGACGGUACCCAAAGAAUAAGCACCGGCUAACUUCGUG
rnacentral:rRNA from 1 species